rnacentral:lncRNA from 10 species
UAAAAACUUCAAAAAGAUAAAAAAUAUUGGUGGCUUUAGAAUAUUUUGAACAAGUUAGUUAAUCUUGCAAUUCUUCAGUUUCCUCAGCUGUAAAAUGUGGAUAACAACCAGAUCUGCCUCAUGAAGACCCUGUGAGAAUUAAACAAGAUGAUGUGUGCAGAGUACAGAAGUCAGUGAGCCCAGCAUCUACAAGUGACUAUGUGAAUUAGUGGUUAUUAUGGCUACGAUUGUGCCUGCUGCUGCUAAAGUCAAACGUUUUUUUCCUUUCAUAACUGAACAUAGCAGGAUUUGCAUUUGUGGAAGAUGGUACCAAGGUACCUAUCUCUCUGAAAGUCAAAUAAAGAGAAAAAUAAAAAAAUG